rnacentral:rRNA from 1 species
AGAGUUUGAUCCUGGCUCAGGAUGAACGCUAGCUACAGGCUUAACACAUGCAAGUCGAGGGGCAGCAUGUUGGUUGCUUGCAACCAACGAUGGCGACCGGCGCACGGGUGAGUAACGCGUAUCCAACCUGCCCACCACUUGGGGAUAACCUUGCGAAAGUAAGACUAAUACCCAAUGACGUCUCUAGAAGACAUCUGAAGGAGAUUAAAGAUUUAUCGGUGAUGGAUGGGGAUGCGUCUGAUUGGCUUGUUGGCGGGGUAACGGCCACCAAGGCGACGAUCAGUAGGGUUCUGAGAGGAAGGUCCCCCANAUUGGAACUGAGACACGGUCCAAACUCCUACGGGAGCA